GCGCUCACCUCGGCAGCAUGGGUGCUAAAAUUAGAACAAUACAGUGAAGACUAGUGUGGCCCCCAUGCAAGGAGGACAUGCAAAUUCGUGACACAUUCUCUAUUUUA
ensembl:snRNA U6 U6 spliceosomal RNA